CGCGGAAGUCGGCGGACGGCGCUGUCGCCAACCUGGUCAGAUCCGGAAGGAAGCAGCCACAACGAUUUCGUGCCGGGUCGUCGGCUUCCACCGCU
rnacentral:SRP_RNA from 1 species